GAAUUGAUUUUAGGAUAAGGACUAUAGAGCUUGAUGGGAAAAGGAUCAAGUUGCAAAUUAGGGAUACUGCUGAGCAAGAGCGAUUUCGAACAAUUACAACUGCUUACUACCAUGGAGCCAUGGGUAUUUUGCUUGUGUAUGAUGUGACCGAUGAGUCAUCUUUCAAUAACAUUAGAAAUUGGAUUCGUAAUAUUGAACAACAUGCUUCGGACAAUGUGAACAAGGUUCUGGUGGGUAAUAAGGCCGACAUGGAUGAAAGCAAAAGGGCCGUUCCUACCUCAAAGGCCAAGCUCUUGCCGAUGAAUACGGCAUCUUCUUUGAGACUGUAUGUAAUUUUUUCUGCUGAUGCUGUAGUUACUUUUGAUGUUUAGUUGAUCUUUUCUGUAUGGUCAAGAGUUAUUCUUAUCUUGCAGAGUGCAAAAGCAAACUUAAUGUUGAGGAAGUUUUUUUUUCCAUAGCCAGGGACAUAUUAAGCAAAGACUCGCCAACACCGACGCAAAGGCUGAGCCACAUGCACUCAAAAUUAGCCAACAAGAUCAGGGAGCCGGAUCUGCGGCGGCUGCUAAAAAAUCUACUGGCUGCGGGGCUUGAACAAAGGAUGAGAUCUCAAGGGUACAUUUUGAACCGGGGAAACUAAUUGGUUACAACUAUUUUUUGUUUAUAUUCUCCAGUCCUGGCUAUCAUUAGUUUACAUGAAAGGAUGAAUCGUGUCAUCAUGUUUAUCUUAAAAGGUUUCGAGUGUUAAAUAUUUAAUUCCUCUACUUGCAUCAUAAAGAUUAGCAGAAUCCAAAUCCA